rnacentral:rRNA from 1 species
CACGUAGGGUGCGAGCGUUGUCCGGAAUUAUUGGGCGUAAAGGGUGCGUAGGCGGGUCUUUAAGUCAGGGGUGAAAUCCUGGAGCUCAACUCCAGAACUGCCUUUGAUACUGAGGAUCUUGAGUUCGGGAGAGGUGAGUGGAACUGCGAGUGUAGAGGUGAAAUUCGUAGAUAUUCGCAAGAACACCAGUGGCGAAGGCGGCUCACUGGCCCGAUACUGACGCUGAGGCACGAAAGCGUGGGGAGCAAACAGG